UCCGUGCUUGUAUUAGCAAAAUCGGGGCGGAGUUCGGAGAUGAUCCUUGCCGUAUUUUUUCAGGCUCAUAGCCUGUAAUGUAUGUUUUUUUGUGUGCUUCCUACUGCCCAUGCAUGUAUUAUGACCAUGUUUGUUUCAUUGCAGAGCUCGGUGAAAGGCUUGCAGUUGGGUGGUUUGAACAUCGUGUCUCUCACAGACGCGACCCCGGUGACGUGGAACUGCUACAGACCCCGCAAGGCAAGACGAUUGUGAAAGGUUAGGUGCGUUGGGUGACCCCCUUCAGUGAUGAAGCAAGAGAAAAUAAGGUGUAUGAAGUGUUUUCAUUGUGAAUACAUUGUAAAAUUAAUCACGUUAUUUUUUUAGGGAAGUUUGAAUGCAGACUGGUGUUUGGAACGAUGGCUGGUGACCAACACACACUUCGGUACAUGUGCCACAUGCCUCCAGUCCUUGUGCGUCUCUUGGUGCCAGCUGAACUGGGGAACCCGAACGUUGGGCGGAGGUGACGUCAUAACUCGCAAAGCAUUCUGGGCCAGGGCUGUUGGCGAGGGAAAAUGGCGGCCGGUGACUUGACGUGGUGUGUUUGCCGCACGCAUAGUUGUAGACAAUUUGCGUGGUGAAGGCCUGUGGGCCGCGUGGUGUAUGGUGACAAUUGUAGGUUGUUUCGCUGGAUUUUAUUGUGUAAGGUUUGGUGCGAUCGUAGGAAGAGAAACAGAAGACUUUCACGGUGGAAAGGUCGUCGCCAUAUUGGAACUCUGGUUGGUGGCUAUCUGCAAGACCCUGAUAUCCGGUACUUCAGUUAGGGCACAGGGGGUGUGCAAAUGUUAUUGAGAAACAUUUUGUAAACGUGUAUUUUACAAGAACAAGCUCUGCUGAAUCCUGCUUCAGCUGAUUGUGGUCAUCCAGCAUACUCUGAAACUUUAGAUGCCAAUGGAGGGCGACAGCGACUCCGACUCUGACAAGUCGACCAAGUCCGACAGCAACAAGUCGACCAAGUCCGACAGCAACAAGUCGACCAAGUCCGACAGCAGCAAAUCCAAAUCCGACAGCAACAAAUCGACCAAGUCCGACAGCGGCCAGUCGUCAUCCUCCUCGAGUGCCAGUGACUCCGGCGAGGCCAGCAGCGGCAGCGGCGAUGAGGCGCCGGCGGCCG